AAAUGACUCUCGGCAAAGGAUAUCUCGGCUCUAGUAUCGAUGAAGAACGUAGCGAAAUGCGAUACUUGGUGUGAAUUGCAGAAUCCCGUGAACCAUCGAGUCUUUGAACGCAAGUUGCGCCCGAAGCCAUCCGGACAAGGGCACGUCUGCCUGGGCGUCACGCAUCG
rnacentral:rRNA from 1 species